AGAGGGUGCGAGCGUUAAUCGGAUUUACUGGGCGUAAAGGGCACGUAGGCGGUUGUAUGAGUGUGAUGUGAAAGCCCCGGGCUCAACCUGGGAAGUGCAUCGCAAACGAUACGACUGGAGUAUAUGAGAGGGUGGCGGAAUUUCCGGUGUAGCGGUGAAAUGCGUAGAGAUCGAAAGGAACGUCGAUGGCGAAGGCAGCCACCUGGCAUAAUACUGACGCUGAGGUGCGAAAGCGUGGGGGGAGCGAACAGGAUUAGAUACCCUGGUAGUCCACGCUGUAAACGAUGUGAACUAAAUGUUGGUGGGGGAACCCAUCAGUAUUGAAGCUAACGCGAUAAGUUCACCGCCUGGAAGUACAACCGCAAGGUUG
rnacentral:rRNA from 1 species